ACAGAUCGACCUCAGAUCAGACCAGUCAACCCGCUGAAUUUAAGCAUAUUACUAAGCGGAGGAAAAGAAACUAACCAGGAUUCCCUCAGUACGGCGAGUGAACAGGGAAGAGCGGCGCCGAAUCCCCGCCUGUCCCCUGGGCGCGGGAAAUGUGGCGUAUGAGACGAAUCCCUGGCGUCGAUCGGGGCCCAAGUCCUUCUGAUCGAGGCUCUCCCACGGACGGUGUGAGGCCGGUGCGGCCUCCGUCGCGCCGGGGUCGGUCUUCUUGGAGUCGGGUUGUUUGUGAAUGCAGCCCAAAGCGGUGGUAAACUCCAUCUAAGGCUAAAUACCGGCAUGAGACCGAUAGCCAACAAGUACCGUAAGG
rnacentral:rRNA from 1 species